CUUAACUGCAGAACUGCCUUUGAUACUGUUAGUCUUGAGUUCGAAAGAGAGAGAUGGAAUUCCGGGUGUAGUAGUGAAAUACGUAGAUAUCCGGAGGAACACCGGAGGCGAAGGCGAUCUCUUGGUUCGAUACUGACGCUGAGGCGCGAAAGCGUGGGGAUCAAACAGGAUUAGAUACCCUGGUAGUCCACGCUGUAAACGAUGAAUACUAGGUGUUGGGAAAUAAUCUCAGUGCCGCAGCAAACGCAUUAAGUAUUCCACCUGGGGAGUACGAUCGCAAGGUUGAAACUCAAAGGAAUUGACGGGGGCCCGCACAAGCAGUGGAGCAUGUGGUUUAAUUCGAUGCAACGCGAAGAACCUUACCUGGGCUUGAAAUGUAGUGGACAGGUUGUGAAAGCAGCCUUCUCUUCGGAGCCGCUAUGCAGGUGCUGCAUGGCUGUCGUCAGCUCGUGCCGUGAGGUGUUGGGUUAAGUCCCGCAACGAGCGCAACCCU
rnacentral:rRNA from 1 species